UGGGGAAUAUUGCACAAUGGGGGAAACCCUGAUGCAGCGACGCCGCGUGAGCGAAGAAGGUUUUCGAAUCGUAAAGCUCUGUCCUAUGGGAAGAUAAUGACGGUACCAUAGGAGGAAGCCCCGGCUAACUACGUGCCAGCAGCCGCGGUAAUACGUAGGGGGCAAGCGUUGUCCGGAAUCACUGGGCGUAAAGGGUUCGCAGGCGGAAAUGCAAGUCAGUUGUGAAAGGCAGAGGCUCAACCUCUGUAAGCAAUUGAAACUGUAUUUCUUGAGAUGUGGAGAGGCAAGUGGAAUUCCUAGUGUAGCGGUGAAAUGCGUAGAUAUUGGGAGGAACACCAGUAGCGAAGGCGGCUUUCUGGACUGCAACUGACACUGAGGCACGAAAGCGUGGGUAGCAAACAGG
rnacentral:rRNA from 1 species